AGAGGCUUAGGAUAACUCAGACCAAGGGCCUUCAAAGCCCCAAGCGGGAGUUAAAAUCUCCCAGCCCCUG
rnacentral:tRNA from 1 species